UCUCCAAGUUGUCUGUCCUGCUCCUGGAGAAGAUGGGAGGCUCAUCUGGGGCGGUGGGUGCCUGGGGGCUGAAGGGCUGACAGGGAGGUGGCUGGGCUGGCUGGGGUCCAGGCCAGCACCACAUGCUCAGUGUUCUUAUCUUCCCCAGCUCUACGGCCUGUUCCUGACUGCGGCUGCACAGCCCCUCAAGGCGAAGACCAGCCUCCCAGCCUGGUCUGCUGCCAUGGAUGCCGGCCUGGAAGCCAUGCAGAAGUAUGGAAAGGCUGCCCCAGGGGACAGGACUAUGCUGGAUUCUCUGUGGGCAGCAGGGCAGGAGCUCCAAGCCUGGAAGAGCCCAGGAGCCGAUCUGUUGCAAGUCCUGACCAAAGCAGUCAAGAGUGCCGAAGCUGCAGCCGAGGCCACCAAGAAUAUGGAAGCUGGAGCCGGAAGAGCCAGUUAUAUCAGCUCAGCACGGCUGGAGCAGCCAGACCCCGGGGCGGUGGCAGCUGCUGCCAUCCUCCGGGCCAUCUUGGAGGUCUUGCAGAGCUAGGGUGUGUGACUGCCUCCCUUGGCCUCAGCUCCUCUCACUGCUGUGCUGAGGUGGCCUUUGUCACUUCCUUCUGCCUUCCAACCCUCACCUUCCCCCGGCCUGGCCCCGUUGGCCCACCCUCUAAUUGAGCAGGAAAUCCUCCACCAAGCUUCCAGAACUACAGACAGCACCCAGAGCGAGCUGGAGUGGGUCCCCGUGCCUCUCUAGCAUGCCCUUUCCCUUUGCGGGAGGGUGGAGUCCCUGGGUCAUGCCCUCCCCUGCCAGCUCUGGGCUUCAGAGAUAAGGCAUUUUCCUUGUGCAGCCUUUACCUGGCAAUCCUAAUUUGGUUUUAAGACUCCCUGUGAAAUGCCUUCCGCACCUUAACCCAGUGAACGUGAAAAAGAAA
rnacentral:sRNA from 1 species